rnacentral:rRNA from 1 species
UACGAAGGGGGCAAGCGUUGUUCGGAAUUACUGGGCGUAAAGGGCGCGUAGGCGGCCGAUCAAGUCAGGCGUGAAAUUCCCGGGCUCAACCUGGGGGCUGCGCUUGAUACUGAUUGGCUUGAAUGCGGGAGAGGAUAGUGGAAUUCCCAGUGUAGAGGUGAAAUUCGUAGAUAUUGGGAAGAACACCGGUGGCGAAGGCGGCUAUCUGGCCCGUAAUUGACGCUGAGGCGCGAAGGCGUGGGGAGCAAACAGG